AUGGAGUAAACGCUUCAGAGACCUAGGAUCUGUUCCGGAAUGUCCAAGUUACUGGUGCUCGUGCUCCUGUUGGCGAUGGUGGUGGCUGUAACCGUGGCCCAGCGUGGCGGUGGGGGCGGUUUCGGCGGCGGAAGAGGAGGCCGAGGAGGCGGCAUGAUGGGCGGCAUGGGCCGAGGCAUGGGGCGUGGCAUGGGCGGCAUGGGCCGAGGCAUGGGCGGCAUGGGCCGAGGCAUGGGCGGCAUGUUCGGCUGAGGCGGCCGUCUGUCCGGCCUGGUUGCUCCGUAGUCCAUCUCGGUGUUCCCUUACAGUAUUUCAUACAGUCCUUACCUACACCAAGUCAGUGGGAGAUCUCAAUGUUCCCACGUGUCUGCUCUCCUGCCUACUCAUCGACAGUACCACCGAACGUAGUUUGCUUUCAGACUUUCAGACAUUAUUCUGUAGUUUGUUGUAUCGAAUUUAUGCUUCAACUCUUUGUACAAUGUGUACAUAACAAUAAAUUAGUUACAUCACAAGCA